CCGGCGGCUAGGACAGACGGCGCCCUCACCUCCACAGGGUAGAGAUCGCGCGGAAGCACCGCCUGCAGGUCCACGAGCAGGGUGAUGGGGAUGUGGGAGAGGAAGUAGAGGCCCAGCAGCCACUCCAGGCCGCGCCGGGCGCCCAGAGGCCCCAUCAUCCGUCGCUUGGCAGAGCAGGAGCCCAGACUACGCUGGAGGGAACGCGACGUGAGAACAGGCCCGCAAUCGCGCCAUCCCAGGAGCCCGCGCCCCGCCCCGCCCCGCCUCGAGGGCGACGAAGGCCGCUCCCAUUGGCUGAGAAGCCGCGCCCGGGCCGGGAGCGUCCGCCGAGGAGGCCAGCGGACCGUUUCCAUUGGCCGUGGGGAGUACCGCGUGACUUGGGGGCGGGGCUGCUCGGCUGCCGCGUGGGGCCGCUCCGGGCGCGGGGCUUGCACAGCCAGAGGUCCUGCCUGUCGCGGGGCCUUCCGGCCUUCUUUCCGCGAUCGCGUGUCAUCCGUGGCCCUUUCGCUCAUUACUCUUACGUUCCUUCGCUCCAUCCGUUCAGUGCUUGCUGGGAGGCUCCUGUGUGCCCGGCCGUGGGCGCUUAUGGAGAUGGAGCGCCCAGUGCAGUGGGGUGUCACUCAUCAGGGCCGGCCGGACAGUGCGUGGUGGUCCGGGCCGUGGCGGCAGUCACGGGCCGUGGGAACAGCGGGCAAGAUCCCUGUCCCCCCGGAGUUAGGGUCCCUGAAGCCUUCUGAAGGAUGUGUAGGAGGCAGCCAGCCUCAAUUAAGAAAGAAGCACGGGGAUAUAGUAGGAGGUAAAACUGAUAAUUCGUGGUGAUUGGCUGUGGAGAAUGAGGGAGGCUCAGUGGUUCAUUUUUAUUCUGCAAAUAUUGAUCUUUAGUUAUAUGCUGGGUGCGGGUCUUCCCUGGGACAGGAUGGGUGGGGCUGCCAUUCACUGAGAAGAGUGAGGUAGAGGAGAAGUGAGUUGAAGAGAAGGUAAUUUGGUUCUGGCCAUGUUGUCACUGAGCGGUAGCCUCUGCGGCAUCUGAGUGGAAAAGUCUAGCAGGCAGUUGGCCGAACAUGUCUGAAGAUGUAGAUUUGUGAGGCAUCAGCGUUUGAUGGGAGUUGAAGUUUUGAGAGCAGAAGGCCUGUGAGAGAUCUUAGGCGACCUGCAACCUUAGGGGUCAUGGGACGAGGGGGCUGAGAUACAGGUAGACAGCAGGAGUGUGAUGUCUCAGAGGCACGGGCAAGGAGGGAGGGUCAGCUGUGUCAGAGCAACACCUGUGACCUUGUGCGAGCAGCUGUGGCUGGUGGAGGCAGGAGCCUGAUGACAGCAGGGCAAGGAGUAAGGAGAUGGGGAAAUCGAGGCAGGGAGCUAGACAUCUGAUUAUGAAGGGGAAGAGAGAUGGGGCAGUGGGUGGAGGGGGAUGUGCUCAAGAGAGACUUAUUUAUGUACUUUUCAGAUGAGAGAGACCGGAGUACUUUCAUUUGUUUAGAUGCUGCUUGAAGUUUCUCAGUCCGGGGAAAGGUCGUCCAUGUAGGAGGCCGAGAGCAGGAAAUGUGGCUCAAGGCCGCCGAGGAGCUGGAGAGAAUGGAUCAGGUUUCGGUCAGAGGAGUGCUGUGCUCCCCAGGGUGGGCCCCAUGGCACUAGGACAGAGAACUGUGGUCAGCGUAGAGGACCCAGCUGAGAUGUGUGGCCAUUGAUCUGGAGGCCCCACUCUCCUAGGCUGUGUGCUUUUCUCCAUCAUGAGAUCUGCACAGAAAAAGGCUGUUCGACUUGUCCAGGGUUGGGGUUAGAAAGACAGUGGUGAUGUUGAGGAGUUGAACAAGAGAGUAACUGAAGAGACGGAGCCCGCAGUUCAAGCAGGGUAGGGAGUGAGUGACGUAAGGCCAGAGGGGGCUGGUAGACUGGGAGAAAUUGGAGAAAUGAAUGGAUUUGAGGCCUUGCUGAGGAAUGAGCGCUAAUGUGAUGGGAGUAACUGGAUGGAUGGGCCGGAAGGUUGGGAGAGUAUGACACGCGGGUACAGGUGUGUGGGUUCUGGAUCUCAGACGUUCUGCCCAUGGGAAGCUGUGGCUGAAAUGGAGUGGAGGGGAAGGUAUUUGGAGAUGAAGUCAAGGGACGGAGAGCCCAGGGUGUGGGAUGGAUGGGCCACAGAGGCCACCUUGGAUGGUGGUGGCAGUCGGGUGGAGAGAAGGCUGUGAGAAAGGCUGCCAAAGUCUUCGGAUUACUACUGGUGAACAGCGAAGUAGAUUUUCAGUAAAUGGUGCUUCAUCAGCUGACAAUCUAGAUGGAAUGAAAUCAAACAAAAAUCAAUUGCAAGUGAAUUGUGGAUCUAAAUGUGAAAGGCAAGAUAAACUGGAAGAUGACACAGUAGAAUAUCUGAUCUCAGGGUGUGCAAAAAGCUGAGGGCAGGAGACUUUGGUCUGCUGUGUUUAUGAUGUAUCUCCAAUGUAGACGCUCAAUAUUUACAGAAUGAAAAUAAAGAAACUUCAACAUUCUCUUGAGCGAUAUACACACAUACAAGUACUUGGAUCAUUGUGAAGACACACAAUGUUCUUAAAGUACACGGGCCUCUCACUGUUGUGGCCUCUCCCAUUGCGGAGCACAGGCUCCAGAUGCGCAGGCUCAGCGGCCAUGGCUCACGAGCCCAGCCACUCCGCGGCACGUGGGAUCUUCCCUGACUGGGGCACGAACCC